rnacentral:tRNA from 1 species
UCCCCAGUGGCGCAAUUGGUUAGCGCACGGUACUUAUAAGCAGUACUUGUUAGUGAUGCCGGGGUUGUGAGUUCGAGCCUCACCUGGGGAA